rnacentral:tRNA from 1 species
CAAAAAGUAGCUUACAAAAAGCAUUCGACCUACAAUCGAACGACAUUAUAUUAAUCUUUUUGA